GUGAGCUUGGGCCACGAUCCCAUAGGUCUCUGUGGACAAAGCCUCAGGAGUCAUGAUCUUGGGGUGCAUGUGGCUGACAUCACAAUAGCGAUCCUCCAGGGGCAGCUGUCCCAGCCACCAGGGGCCACACACCUUUGGCCCCACCCCUGCCUGGCGUUCUGGAAUCAGAGAGGCUCCGGCCCCAGUUCCAGAAGUGGACGUGGGAUUUCCCACUGGUGACAAUGCAGCUGCUGUCCCGAGGGCUGAAGCCGACAGCCAGGACUGAGUCAUUUGUGC